rnacentral:rRNA from 1 species
GACAAAGUGACAGGUGGUGCAUGGUUGUCGUCAGCUCGUGUCGUGAGAUGUUGGGUUAAGUCCCGCAACGAGCGCAACCCUUAAGCUUAGUUGCCAGCAUUAAGUUGGGCACUCUAAGUUGACUGCCGGUGACAAACCGGAGGAAGGUGGGGAUGACGUCAAAUCAUCAUGCCCCUUAUGAUUUGGGCUACACACGUGCUACAAUGGACAAUACAAAGGGCAGCUAAACCGCGAGGUCAUGCAAAUCCCAUAAAGUUGUUCUCAGUUCGGAUUGUAGUCUGCAACUCGACUACAUGAAGCUGGAAUCGCUAGUAAUCGUAGAUCAGCAUGCUACGGUGAAUACGUUCCCGGGUCUUGUACACACCGCCCGUCACACCACGAGAGUCUGUAACACCCGAAGCCGGUGGAGUAACCAUUUAUGGAGCUAGCCGUCGAAGGUGGGACAAAUGAUUGGGGUGAAGUCGUAACAAGGUAGCCGUAUCGGAAGGUGCGGCUGGAUCACCUC